CUAAACCCCAAACCCCUAAUUUCCCAAAAUACAAACCCUCAACACCCCCUCCUCACGGUAACACACGCACACACCCACGGAAACGCAGAGAGAGAGGGAAAACGGAGAAGGAAAGAGAGGGAGGAGGAAGGAGACGGCGCCGACGGAGCUGGCAGCCGCCGUCGCAGUCGAUGCUCGCAAGGAAGAGAGGGAGAGUGAGGGCGAUCGAGCUGAGAAGAAGCAGGGAAUCGGUUGCAACUAACCCUGCAGCUGUGUCAUGAACUGCUUCUCCAACCUCUCAUCCUACACUGCCGCCAUCUUCGCUCGCUUCCUAUCCAGCCGCCGUUCCCUCUGCAACUUCCCCAUUAAGCUAACUCUUCCUCCUACUCUCUCUCCCCGCCCUCAAUUCGUGCUCGCUAGGUUUCCCUCUCGCUGCUGCUACUCCUCCUCCUCCUCUGCCAAGAAAGGCCGCAAGAAGAAGGUGGUGGAGCCUGAACCUGUGGCGUCUGUUAUGGAGCACGAGGAGAAGGUCACCUUCUUUGUAGUCCGAAAUGGGGACAUCGUUGGAGUAUAUGAUACACUCGUUGAUUGCCAGUCUCAAGUUGGAUCCUCUGUAUGUGAUCCUCCUGUUAGUGUGUACAAGGGAUAUUCUUUGUCGAAGGACACUCAGAAUUAUCUUGUUUCACGUGGACUCAAGAGUGCCUUGUACACAAUUAGAGCUGCUGAUUUGACAGAGGAUUUAUUGGCAUGCUUGUUUCUUGCCCUUUCAAAGAUCCUGCUUCUAUUGAAAGGGCCACUUCAAGUAACGAUGUAUCGAAAAAGAGAUAUGUAGAGAUGCUUGAACUAGAUAAUGUGCUUGAACAAAACAUGCUUUAAUAAUUUCUUUGCAGCUUGAACAAAGUAAAUUUGUAAAUUUGAGGAGAAGAAACUUGAAAAUUAGGAUUUUUUUCAGAAUCCAGAUCUGUAAAUUGGAAUGAUAAGGAGCAUACUUACCUAAGUUUUGUCGAUUGCCAAUCUAGGGCUUUUCAGGAAUUGAGAGCUGCAAUGAAGUCUGUCAAAAAUAAAGUGUUAAAAACAAAAAGAAGCUACUCAGAGGAUUUCAAGUACUUUGCAGGUGUUGAGCUUUCAAAUGUUUAAGUGGCUGAAAUAAAUGUUCUCGAGCGUUGAGAAGAAAGAAUAGCAAUACCAGAAACAAUAUUUCCUGGCAGAGUCUAAAUUGUAUUGCUUUCACGCCUGUGGAACAAUUUUGUUAAUAGUGUCUACUUAGUGUUAGUGUAUAUAUCACUGUAUGAAACUAAGAUUGAGACAAGUGUAUUCACUCAACUAUAUUGAUAUGUUAGAUGGUUACUUUAAUCACAA